AGUGGGUAUGGAGUGUUGCCAACUAUGUAGUAUGGUUGAAAUUAAAACAAUGUAGUAGUUCAUCUUGAUUACAAUUGUUGACACAAAUAAUCAUUUGGAACUACACACAUUUCAAGUUUUUACCACAAAAAGCCUAUAGAGAGCCAAAGAAACUGGCAAGUUAGUAGCUGAAUACAACAAUAUCAACAUCCUUCAAUCUCUUGAAACAUAAUAUUGGAUUGAAGCUGACUAAAUUGCCUUC
rnacentral:lncRNA from 1 species